UACGAAGGGUGCAAGCGUUACUCGGAAUUACUGGGCGUAAAGCGUGCGUAGGUGGUUCGUUAAGUCUGAUGUGAAAGCCCUGGGCUCAACCUGGGAAUUGCAUUGGAUACUGGCAGGCUAGAGUGCGGUAGAGGAUGGCGGAAUUCCCGGUGUAGCAGUGAAAUGCGUAGAGAUCGGGAGGAACAUCUGUGGCGAAGGCGGCCAUCUGGACCAGCACUGACACUGAGGCACGAAAGCGUGGGGAGCAAACAGG
rnacentral:rRNA from 1 species